rnacentral:sRNA from 12 species
GUUUAUCAAGGAAUCUAUGACAACACGACCCUUAGGUUCCUAUGAAAGAAACAAAAGUGGGUUACACGCAGGUUCAUAGUGCAUUGACGAUUUAAGUCUAUAUGCCAUGAAAUACAAUAAUGAUAGUUAGUAAUAAUGACAAACCUUGGGUAAGUUCUUCCAUGAAUACUAAAAUUAUGGUGAAACUUAAUGUAUCUGCUAGAACUG